UACGAAGGGGGCUAGCGUUGCUCGGAAUCACUGGGCGUAAAGCGCACGUAGGCGGAUUGCUAAGUCAGGGGUGAAAUCCUGGAGCUCAACUCCAGAACUGCCUUUGAUACUGGCAACCUUGAGUCCGGGAGAGGUGAGUGGAACUGCGAGUGUAGAGGUGAAAUUCGUAGAUAUUCGCAAGAACACCAGUGGCGAAGGCGGCUCACUGGCCCGGUACUGACGCUGAUGUGCGAAAGCGUGGGGAGCAAACAGG
rnacentral:rRNA from 1 species